rnacentral:rRNA from 1 species
AUUGAACGCUAGCGGGAUGCCUUACACAUGCAAGUCGAACGGAGUGGCGAACGGGUGAGUAAUGUAUCUGAACGUGCCCAGUAGCGGGGGAUAACUACGCGAAAGCGUAGCUAAUACCGCAUACUAUUGGAGCCGCCGAUAUCGGAUUAGCUAGUUGGUGGGGUAACGGCGCACCAAGGCGACGAUCCGUAGCUGGUUUGGGAGGACGACCAGCCACGCUGGGAAUGAGACACGGCGAAGACUACUACGGGAGGCAGGGGUGGGGAAUGUUGGACAAGGGGGGAAACGCUGAUGCAGCCAUCCGGCGUGUGCGAUGAAGGCCUUCGGGUAGAAAAGCACUUUUGGCAGGAAAGCGGUACCUGCAGAAUAAGCACCGGAUAACUACGCGCCAGCAGCCGCGAUAC